AAUGGGUCAGCGACUUAUAUUCUGUAGCAAGGUUAACCGAAUAGGGGAGCCGAAGGGAAACCGAGUCUUAACUGGGCGUUAAGUUGCAGGGUAUAGACCCGAAACCCGGUGAUCUAGCCAUGGGCAGGUUGAAGGUUGGGUAACACUAACUGGAGGACCGAACCGACUAAUGUUGAAAAAUUAGCGGAUGACUUGUGGCUGGGGGUGAAAGGCCAAUCAAACCGGGAGAUAGCUGGUUCUCCCCGAAAGCUAUUUAGGUAGCGCCUCGUGAAUUCAUCUCCGGGGGUAGAGCACUGUUUCGGCAAGGGGGUCAUCCCGACUUACCAACCCGAUGCAAACUGCGAAUACCGGAGAAUGUUAUCACGGGAGACACACGGCGGGUGCUAACGUCCGUCGUGAAGAGGGAAACAACCCAGACCGCCAGCUAAGGUCCCAAAGUCAUGGUUAAGUGGGAAACGAUGUGGGAAGGCCCAGACAGCCAGGAUGUUGGCUUAGAAGCAGCCAUCAUUUAAAGAAAGCGUAAUAGCUCACUGGUCGAGUCGGCCUGCGCGGAAGAUGUAACGGGGCUAAACCAUGCACCGAAGCUGCGGCAGCGACGCUUAUGCGUUGUUGGGUAGGGGAGCGUUCUGU
rnacentral:rRNA from 1 species